rnacentral:rRNA from 1 species
AUGGAGGAGGAGGCAACUGUGUCGCUGGCGCUGUCCCUCAGCACGGACUCGGCGCCUUCCGCCGGGACGUCUUCCGACUCGGGCGCCGGUGCGCCGGCCAAGCGCAGGAGGGGCGCCGUGGUGGUAACCUCGGGGGAGGGGGAGUUCGUGUGCAAGACGUGCGGCCGGGCCUUCGCUACGUUCCAGGCGCUGGGCGGGCACCGGACCAGCCACCUCCGCGGCCGCCACGGGCUGGAGCUCGGCGUCGGCGUCACCAGAGCCAUCAAGGAACGGAAAAAACGCGAGGAGAAACAACACCAGUGUCACAUCAGAGCCAUCAAGGAACGGAAAAAGCGCGAGGAGAAACAACACGAGUGCCACAUCUGCGGGCUCGGCUUCGAGAUGGGACAGGCGCUCGGAGGGCACAUGAGGCGGCACCGUGAGCAGAUGGCGCCGCGCGGCGCCGACGAUCGCUGGGUCGCGCUGCUGCCGGAUCAGGAGGUGGCCGCCGCCGACCAGCCACCCGUCUUGCUCGAGCUGUUCGUCUAG